AUGGCGGCUGCACGUGUGUGCCUUUCGCGGCGUCUCGUGUAUUUCGUCUAAUUUUAUUAAUAAAAUGCGGAAUUUAGUUUAUUAAAGUGUUUAAUUAGAGGGAAAUAGUUUCGGGGCGUGUAAUUAAAAUAGUGAGUAUUGUUUUUGAAAGUUUAUUAGUGAACAGUGAAGGGAUUUGUGGGAAGUGUGCAUGAGGACGCUUGGGCGUGGCUCGUUGGUGGGUUGGUGAUGAGGCCUAAUUUGUUAAAUAAUUGGCCAAAUUGUUGCUAAAAAGACUGGUACAUUGUGCAUUGAGUGGGAUUUUGUAAAAUAAUAAAAUGCUAAAUGGACUGAAAAAUGAGUAGCGUCUCCACAGAGCUGUGAGACGAAGGGAUGGUGCGGCGAGGGGGGGCAGCCGUACGUGUUCGUGUUGGUAAUGACGCCGAAUCUGUUAAAUAAUUGGUGAAAUAUUGCUAAAAAAAAGUGGUAAAUGGAGGGUAAAUGCAUUGGCCCGGAAAAGUGUGUUUAUUGAGUGUAAUUUUUUGAAAAAAUAAAAUGCUAAAUGGACAGUUGAGAAAUGGGUAGCGUCUCCACAGAGCUGGGUGACGAAGGGAUGGUGCGGUGAGGGCGGGGCAGCCGUACGUGUCCGUGCUUGUUGGCGGCUUGGUGAUGACGCCUAAUUUAUUAAAUAAAUAGUGAAAUAUUGCUAAAAAAGACUGGUACAUUGUGUGUAAAUGGAUUGGUCCAGGAAAGUGUGUGCAUUCAAUGACAUUUUUUAAAAUAAUAAAAUGCAAAAUGGACAGUUGAGAAAUGGGGAGCAUCUGGACAGACUUGGGUGGCAAAGGGUUGGGGGGGGGGGGAGUUGUGCGCGUUGGUGGUUGUUGGUGCGUCGGUGAAAAGGUGUAAUUUGUUUAAAAAUGGUUAAAAUUUUAAUUUAAAAAAUAAUGAGUCGGGUUGUAAAUACAGUGGCCUAAAAAAGUGUGUGCAUUUUAUUUAAAUUGUGGCAUAAUUAAAUGGUUAAUUGGGUAGUGAUAAAUAAGGUGGUAUAUUCAGUGAGCAGUGUGGUGAAGGGAUGGGGGGGGGGCGAUCGCUACCGAUACGGGCGGGCAGCCAGUGGUGUGUGACAUUUGUAGAAAAAAAAAAUGAGUGCAGUGAUGUGGGGAUAGUGUUUUUUUUUUUUUUUGAUGUGAAACAUCUAUAGGCGCACCCCUAAACUGAAUCGUUGGCCUGGCGAUACUUGCCGUGGCGAGCAUUCGCCAGGCUAUACUAAGGUAUGCCUAUCUAUAUUCUGUGUAGUAGAGUGUACGGUGUGGCUUCUCACUCAGUUCGACGUUGUUGUUUACUACGGUACACAUAACCUGCGUUUUAUUUAAUUUUUCAUUUUAAUUUUUGACAAUGAAAUAUGUGUGACAGUGAUAACUCAGAAGAUCAAAGUGAUCAACCUUGUGCAAAGAAAGUGAAACUACACUAUGGUAUACUACCAAGUCAUCAUUCCCAACAAUCAUCAGAAGGAUCACAAAAUAUUAUUAUUGAAACUAGACGUCACCCUGAUCAGUUAAACACAAGGCAUACUAUCAAUGUUGUGUCAGACUUUAUUAAUCGAAUAGUACCAGACUAUUUUAAACUAUUGCAUCUAUUGGAAAUGUGUGUUCUUCACAUGUUAAACUACAAGACGGAAGUGAAUUAAUUAUGAUUGUAAUAUACAUUUCACCUAAUAACAAAAUGGAUCAUCUCAUUUCAUUUUUACAUGAAAGGUUAUUUCCUUAUAGUCAAACAGGUUCAAUAAUUCUUAAAGCGAAUAAACAUAAACUACCAUUAUUUCUAGCUGCAUAUUUCAGUGUAAAUUUUGCAAGAGCUGAAUCAAUGCCAUUAAUGACAUUUCUUCAAAAAGAAUUUCAAUGGCAAAUCAAUAACGAUCCAAAAGAAUCUACUACCAAAUAUGGAACAACAAUAGAUGCUGUAUUUGUGAGAUAUCUUGAUGGUGUUUCAUCCAAUACUUUUGUAACGUACUUUAGUUAUCAUCGACCAAUCGUCACAGUAAUACCGGCAGAGGAAAAAUCGAAUAUAACUAUUAUUGAAGCCACAGAUGAAAAUAUUUAAAUUGUGGCAACUUGAUACUAAUAUCGAAUUUUUAUAUCAUGUAAAUAAAUGUUUAUUAAAUAAAGUUACCAUUUACUGUAAGAAUCUCGUAAUACUUCAUUUUUUCAUUAGGCUAUAUUUAAUUCCUGUAAUAAUAUUAUCUUUUAUGCAUAUUACUUGUACACACACGAUGUUUCACAUCUGCCAGGCGUCCCAUGACGGCUCAUUUUUUUUUUUUAAUGUGAAGUGAGCUGUGGAAAAGGAGGAAUGCUGAGACAGCAUUCAACAGCAGGCGACAGUUUGCAGUUUGCAGUUGGUAUCUCGGUGAGUCAAAAAUUAAAGAAUUUUUAUUUAAUGUUAAGCAAUUGUGAUAAAUUUUGAAUUAUUUGUCACAAAUGUUUAACGAUGCUCAUGAUGAGCUUCUAGUGGAUAAGAGGUACGUUUAUCAGUUGUGAGAAAUUAAAAUUAAUUAAUUAAUAAAGUGAAGCUAGCCAGAGUCGGGGUUUUUGAAUUAAUUAGAGAAUUAGCUCUUAAUUGGGUUUUAUAUAAUUUUUUUGUGUCGUCAGUAAAAAUAAAAUGGUGAAAAAGCUUUGUUGAAAAAUCAAUUUUUGUAAUUUGUUUUUUUUUUUUUAAUGUGAAGUGAGCUGUGGAAAAGGAGGAAUGCUGAGACAGCAUUCAACAGCAGGCGACAGUUUGCAGUUUGCAGUUGAUAUCUCGGUGAGUCAAAAAUUAAAGAAUUUUUAUUUAAUGUUAAGCAAUUGUGAUAAAUUUUUAAUUAUUUGUCACAAAUGUUUAACGAUGCUCAUGAUGAGCUUAUAGUGGAUAAGAGGUACGUUUAUCAGUUGUGAGAAAUGAAAAUUAAUUAAUUAAUAAAGUGAAGCUAGCCAGAGUUGGGGUUUUUGAAUUAAUUAGAGAAUUAGCUCUUAAUUGGGUUUUAUAUAAUUUUUUUGUGUCGUCAGUAAAAAUAAAAUGGUGAAAAAGCUUUGUUGAAAAAUGAAUUUUUGUAAUUUGUCAUGGAUUGUUGGACUCAGCUGUCUUAUAUACUGGUGGUUGUAGGAAGGGGUGUUUUUGGGGGGGGGGGCGCGGUGGGAAAUGAAGACGGGCGUUGCUGUAGAACUCAGCGGCCGCCGUCGGAUCCCGCACUUUAUCCGUCGGACUCGGACGUGCAUUGUCAUAGCCGUCGGAGUGCGACCUGUACCCUGAUUUACCCGUCGUACUUGGCCGUGGUGAAGUGCGACGUGGAGUCCCGUUUUGUAUAUGCCCUGUAUAUUGGGCGGUAAAAAGCGCGUAAAUUGAGGGUGGAGGGGAAUGAAGACGGGGGGACCGUCCAGAAUUCGACGGCCUCCUUGUCGGAGCCCCCGGGGUUUUGUUCCGUCGGAGUUGGACACCGAGGAAAAGGUGUCUGAUUCCGACGAAUCGUGUUGACCAAUUGAGCCAUCGUGUAUUAUAUAGGGGUGGAAAAUAUUUUUUGGACAAGCCUCGACGCAUUGAAUUGAAUGCGGAGGCUUAGUAUAUGCGGCGGCGGCUAGUUUGGGUGAAGCGGCAAAUUAUGAGAAAUGAAUAUUUGAAGAAAGCUUUUUCACGAUGAAAUGAAUAAUUAGUAAAAUAAUGUGUGCGUCGAUGGACGUGUGCCCCGUCGGAUGGUUAGCUUGACAGGUGUUGUAUAUUUGCAAGGGGGGGGGGUUGUUACUCGGAAUUUAGUAAUUUGAAUUGUAAAUGAUUUCUCACAAAUGAUGAAUAACCGUAAAGAGAACCUCGGGGGGAGGAGCAUUUAAAUGUAAAAGUGAUAAGGUAGUAAAAAUGUUUAACAUCUGUUAUGGGGAGAAAUAUAAAUUGAAAAUGUAUUUUUCAUUGCUAUUUCAUCGAGCCUGAGAAAUAUUUAACAAGGCUGAUAAAGAAUUGGGUUUUUUUGUGGGGGAUGUUAGUGAUGAACCCGGGGGUUGAUCGCUGUGAAAGUUGUAAGGUACAGUUAAUGGUAUAAAUAUAAAUUUGUAAUUUUUUUGAAUUGAUAUUAAAUGGCGUGAGCAUGUUUUUAUGAAUAGAGAGAGUUAGAAGCGAAGUUUUGCAAAGCCUAGUCAUAAUGAAGUUGUAAGGGUUUCGCUAGAUGGUGUCAGUCAAGAAAUUGGUGGCCCUGCGAAACUUGUCACCCUUCAGACUAGAUUUGUUUACCUUUGCAAUAAUAUUGUUAGACUGGUUAGGAUAUUUUUAUGAAUAGAGAUUGAGAAGAGAGAGAGAGUUAGAAGCGAAGUUUUGCAAAGCCUAGUCAUAAUGAAGUUGUAAGGGUUUCGCUAGAUGGUGUCAGUCAAGAAAUUGGUGGCCCUGCGAAACUUGUCACCCUUCAGACUAGAUUUGUUUACCUUUGCAAUAAUAUUGUUAGACUGGUUAGGAUAUUUUUAUGAAUAGAGAUUGAGAAGAGAGAGAGUUAGAAGCGAAGUUUUGCAAAGCCUAGUCAUAAUGAAGUUGUAAGGGUUUCGCUAGAUGGUGUCAGUCAAGAAAUUGGUGGCCCUGUGAAACUUGUCACCCUUCAGACUAGAUUUGUUUACCUUUGCAAUAAUAUUGUUAGACUGGUUAGGAUAUUUUGAUGAAUAGAGAUUGAGAAGAGAGAGAGUUAGAAGCGAAGUUUUGCAAAGCCUAGUCAUAAUGAAGUUGUAAGGGUUUCGCUAGAUGGUGUCAGUCAAGAAAUUGGUGGCCCUGCGAAACUUGUCACCCUUCAGACUAGAUUUGCUUACCUUUGCAAUAAUAUGGUUAGACUGGUGAGGAUAUUUUUAUGGAUAGAGAUUGAGAAGAGAGAGUUAGAAGCUAGGUUUUGCAACAGUUAGUCAGAAUAAAGUCGUAAGAAUGUCACAAGAGGGUUUAAAUGAAGGAAUACUUAGCAAGGCGUGUGAAAAAUAGGCUUUUUAAAAUUGAUAAAAAUUUUUUGUCGGGUUGUCAGGUGUUAAAUUCAGAAGGUAUUGAAAAUGGGUGAAAUAAAAAUUUUGAAAAUAGCUUUAAUGAAUAUUCCAUGGUGUGAGACGAAUAUUUAGCAAAGCGUGUGAAAAAUUGAGUUUUUUAAAAUGAUUUUAAUGUUUUGCGGGGUUGUCAGGUGUUAAAUUGGUAACAUAUGGAAAAUUUUGAACCAAUGUUGGUAAUUGGUUAGAGCGCGGGUGACUUGUUCCACACGUCGAUAACUAGUCUGUCGGUAAGAGUAUUGGACGGUCGGUAUCUCGGCGAUGGGUAAAUAGUCGACGAAGUGUAAUGACGUGACAGGGUUAUCAGCCGUCAAAUUUUUAGCGUAUUGAAAAUAGUUAAAAUAAAAAUUUUAAAAAUAGCUUUAAUGGAUAUUAAAUGGUGUGAGACGAAUAUUUAGCAACGCGUGUGAAAAAUAGUGUUUUUGUUAUAUUGAUUUUGAUGUUUUGUGGGUUUGUUAUCAGUUAAACAGGUAAGUAUUGAAAAUUGUUAAAAUAAAAUUUUUGAAAAUAGCUUUAAUGGAUAUUAAAUGGUGUGAGUGGAAUAUUUAGCAACGCGUAUGAAGAAUUGCGUUUUUUUUUUAUUGAUUUUAAUGUUUUGCGGGGCUGUCAGCUGUUAAAUUUGCAACAUAUUGAAAAUGGUUGAAAUAAGAAUUUUGAAAAUAGCUUUAAUGGAUAUUAAAUGGCGUGAGACGAAUAUUUAGUAACGCGUGUGAAAAAUUGCGUUUUUUUAAUUGAUUUUAAUGUUUUGUGGAGUUGUCAGCUGUUAAAUUUGCGACUUAUUGAAAAUGGUUAAAAUAAAAAUACUUAAAAUAGUUUUAAUGGAUAUUAAAUGGCGUGAGACGAAUAUUUAGCGACGCGUAUGAAAAAUUCCGUUGUUUUUAUAUUGAUUUUAACGUUUUGUGGGGUUAUCAGGUGUUAAAUUCGUAACAUAUUGAAAAUGGUUAAAAUAAAAUUUUUAAAAAUAGUUUUAAUUUAUAUUAAAUGGCGUGAGAUGAAUAUUCAGCAAGGCGUAUGAAAAAUUGGAAUUUUAAAAUUGAUUUUAAUGUUUUGUGGGGGUGUUAGCUAUAAAAUUUUGAACAUAUUGAAAAUAGUUGAAAUAAAAAUAAAAAAAAUAGGUUUAAUGGAUAUUAAAUGGUGUGCGACGAAUAUUCAGCACUGUGUGUGAAAAAUAGGGUAUUUGAAUUGAUUUUAAUGCGUUGCGGGGUUGUCAGCUGUCAAACUUGUAAAUAUUGAAAAUUUAGAAGUAGAUCGGUAAUUCGGUAGAGGGCAGGUGAUAUGUUCCAUACGUCGAUAACUAGGUUGUCGGUAAUAGUAUUGGAGGGUCGGUAUGUUGGAUGUGGGUAAAAUAGUGAUAUGAGUAUUAUGGGUAACCGACUCGAAGCGUCGGUAACUGGACUGAAGGUAAUGUUAGUCUUCGGUCGGUAUGUCGGCGAUGGGUAAAGAGUGAUAACAGUUUUAGGGGUAACCGGUUUCACGCGUCGAUAAUUGGACUGAUGGUAAUCCGAUUGGUAAUUUUUAAUUUAUAUAUAAAAUAUAAAAUUGAAAUAAAUACUUAUAAUUAAUAUAUAAAAUGAAAUAUAAAAUUAAUAUAUUAAGUUAUUAUUU